rnacentral:lncRNA from 1 species
AUGAGCAUGCUAAUCGAGAAACGGAGACGCGGGUUAAUAGUCAAAGGAUUCGGUUGUGAGUUAUGAUUAAAUGGAUAAACACUUUCACGUAUGGAAAUUGUACUACAAAGUUCAAUUACGUAUAAUUGAAUGGGAUGAAUGAGUUUAACGCAUACCGGGUAUUGGGUGCAUAAACCCCAAUUACAAAACUCCGGAUAAUGUAAAACUUUUAUAGUUAUAAUGAUCAUGUAAGUCUUGGGUUAAAACAAAUGUGUUGUUUGAUAAAAAUAUGAAUGGCUCGAAUAAUCUGUAAAUGAAUAUUAAGCUGGAAACUCAUAAGUUAAGAAUUUCCUUAAUCCGGAUUUUGGAUUUCAAGUUUACAUGAUAGAAAAUCAAGUUUACAUAAGUUAAGAAUUUCCUUAACACACUACUUUCGUCUAUCCAAUACCUAUGCCAUUCUUAUACUCACAUCCGUUUAUUAAAAUCAAACGUUCACUUUUAUACCCCAUUAUUCUUUAUCUUUUGUACGAACCCCGUUCGCAAUCAAGUCUGUUUAAACGUUCGAAUCCUAAUCUACCUCCUUACUUUUAAAACUACCUUUCUAUCCUCUAUUCAUGUGCAAACACUCGUAGUUGAUCGUUAGCUCCAAAACCGUUUUAUGUAAAACGUCAAACCUUCUCGUUCCUCUAAAUAAAACAACUUUCUACAAAUAUGCGAUUUGGUGCUAUCCUUUAAACUUUCAUGCAAAAACUUUUUAACGUAAAACGUAAAACUUUUUAACGUAAAACGUAAAUUUUUAACGUAAAACGUAAAACGAAAACUUUUUAACGUAAAACGUAAAACGAAAACUUUUAUGUAAAAAUUUUUUAACGUAAAACGUAAAACUUUUUUAUGUAAAAACUUUUUAACGUAAAACGUAAAAAAAAAUUAUGUAACCUGUAAAACGUAAAACGUAAACAUUAAACGCAAAACGUAAAACGUAAACUUCUAUGUAAAACGUAAAACUUUUGUAUGUCAAUUGUAAAACGUAAACUUUUUUAUGUAAAUUGUAAAACUUAAAACCAUAUUAUGUAAAGCGUAAAACAUUGUGUUAUGUAAAUUGUAAAACGUAAAACGUCAAAAAAGUUUUCGUAAAAAAAAAUUAAAAACCGUAAAAAAAAGUUUUCAUAAAAGAAAAAGUUUAAAACCGUAAAAAAAGUUUUAAAAACGCAUGUGUAAGAAAGGGGGCGCAAAAAAUGAUGAGCAAAAAAAUGACGCAUGACAACGGGGCGCAAAAAUGGCUCUUAAAAACCGGGUGAUAAAACGGCGUGUAAAUAAGGGGCGUGAAUACGGGGCGCGUAAUAACGGCGCGGUAUAAAACGGCGCGUAAAACCGGGCCCAAAAAACAGCGCGUAAAAACACGGUCGCAAAAACGGCGUGAAAAAAAUGGGGCGUAAAACGGGUCGAAAAAAACGCACGUAAAAAACGGGGGCGUAAAAAAACAGCGUGUAAAACGGGCGCGUAAAAACGACGCGUAAAACGGGGCAAAAAAACUGUGCGUAAAAACGGGACGUAAAACACGGCGCGCUAAAUAACGGUGCGUAAAACCGGGAAUAAAAAACCGCACGUCAAAACCCGGUCGCAAAAACGGCGUGAAAAAACGGGGCGUAAAAAAACGGCGCGUAAAACGGGCCGUAUAAACGGCGCGUAAAACCGGGACAUAAAAACGGGACGCUAAAACGGCACGUAAAAACGGGACGUAAAAAAUGGGGCGUACAAACGGCUUAUAAAAACGUGACGUAAAAAACGACGCGACAAAAAACGGUGCGUAAAACCGGGCAUAAAAAACGGCACUAAAAAACCUGGUCGCAAAAAACGGCGUUAAAAACGGAGCGUAAAACGGGUCGUAAAAAAACGCGCGUAAAAAACGGGUCGUAAAAAAACACGCGUUAAUUUGUUUUAAUAAAAAAAUCUGAUUUCAAAAUGUUGUUUAAUAAAAAAAAUUUGAUUUAGAAAAAAAGAAUUAAUGCAAUAGGACAAAAAUAUAAUAAAAAACAAUAAA